GCCUUCAGCUGCAUCUCGGCCUGCGGGCCCCGGCCCGGCCGCUGCUGCAUCACCGCCGCCCCCUACCGCGGCGUCUCCUGCUACCGCGGCCUCACCGGAGGCUUCGGCAGCCACAGCGUGUGCGGGGGCUUCCGCGCCGGCUCCUGCGGACGCAGCUUCGGCUACCGCUCCGGGGGCGUGUGCGGACCCAGCCCCCCAUGCAUCGCCACCGUGUCGGUCAACGAGAGCCUCCUCACGCCCCUCAACCUGGAGAUCGACCCCAACGCACAGUGCGUGAAGCAGGAGGAGAAGGAGCAGAUCAAGUCCCUCAACAGCAGGUUCGCGGCCUUCAUGGACAAGGUGCACUUCCUGGAGCAGCAGAACAAGCUGCUGGAGACAAAGCUGCAGUUCUUCCAGAACCGUGAGUGCUGCAAGAGCAACCUGGAGCCUCUGUUUGAGGGCUACAACUCUGCGACGGGAGGCCGAGUGCAUGGAAGCCAACAGUGGGAGGCUGGCCUCAGAGCUCAACCACGUGCAGGAGGUGCUGGAGGGUUACAAGAAGAAGUAUGAAGAAGAGGUGGCACUAAGGGCCACUGCUGAGAAUGAAUUUGUGGCCUUGAAGAAGGAUGUGGACUGUGCCUACCUGCGCAAAUCAGACCUAGAGGCCAACGUGGAGGCCCUGACCCAGGAGAUCGACUUCCUGAGGCGGCUAUAUGAGGAGGAGAUCCGCGUUCUCCAGUCGCACAUCUCAGACACCUCAGUGGUCGUCAAGAUGGACAACAGUCGGGACCUGAACAUGCACUGUGUCAUCACUGAGAUCAAAGCUCAGUACGAUGACAUUGCCACCCGCAGCCGGGCCGAGGCCGAGUCCUGGUACCGCAGCAAGUGUGAGGAGAUGAAGGCCACGGUGAUCAGGCACGGGGAGACCCUGCGCCGCACCAAGGAGGAGAUCAACGAGCUGAACCGCAUGAUCCAGAGGCUGACAGCCGAGGUGGAGAACGCCAAGUGCCAGAACUCCAAGCUGGAGGCCGCGGUGGCCCAGUCUGAGCAGCAGGGUGAGGCGGCCCUCAGUGAUGCCCGCUGCAAGCUGGCCGAGCUGGAGGGUGCCCUGCAGAAGGCCAAGCAGGACAUGGCCUGCCUGAUCAGGGAGUACCAGGAGGUGAUGAACUCCAAGCUGGCCUGGACUUUGAGAUCGCCACCUACAGGCGCCUGCUGGAGGGCGAGGAGCAGAGGUUGUGUGAGGGCGUUGGUGCUGUAAAUGUCUGUGUCAGCAGCUCUCGCGGCGGGGUCUUAUGCGGGGACCUGUGCGUGUCGGGCUCCCGGCCGGUGACGGGCAGCGUCUGCAGUGCCCCCUGCAGCGGG